rnacentral:rRNA from 1 species
UACGUAGGGUGCAAGCGUUGUCCGGAAUUAUUGGGCGUAAAGAGCUCGUAGGCGGUUUGUCACGUCGGAUGUGAAAACUCGGGGCUCAACCCCGAGCCUGCAUUCGAUACGGGCAGACUUGAGUUCGGCAGGGGAGACUGGAAUUCCUGGUGUAGCGGUGAAAUGCGCAGAUAUCAGGAGGAACACCGGUGGCGAAGGCGGGUCUCUGGGCCGAUACUGACGCUGAUGCGCGAAAGCUAGGGGAGCAAACGGG